rnacentral:rRNA from 1 species
UACGGAGGGUGCAAGCGUUAUCCGGAUUCACUGGGUUUAAAGGGUGCGUAGGUGGGCCCGUAAGUCAGUGGUGAAAUCUCCGAGCUUAACUCGGAAACUGCCAUUGAUACUAUAGGUCUUGAAUUAUCUGGAGGUUAGCGGAAUAUGUCAUGUAGCGGUGAAAUGCUUAGAUAUGACAUAGAACACCGAUUGCGAAGGCAGCUGGCUACAGGUAUAUUGACACUGAGGCACGAAAGCGUGGGGAUCGAAACAGG